UACGUAGGCAGCGAGCGUUGUUCGGAGUUACUGGGCGUAAAGCGUGCGUAGGCGGUGUCUUAAGUUUGUUGUGAAAUCUCCCGGCUUAACCGGGAGGGUGCGGCGAAGACUGAGAUGCUGGAGUGCCGGAGAGGUAAGCGGAAUUCCUGGUGUAGCGGUGAAAUGCGUAGAUAUCAGGAGGAACACCUGCGGUGUAGACGGCUUACUGGACGGUAACUGACGCUGAGGCACGAAAGCGUGGGUAGCAAACAGG
rnacentral:rRNA from 1 species